GGGCCCGUAGCUCAGCCUGGUAGAGCGGCGGGCUCUUAACCCGUAGGUCCCGGGUUCAAAUCCCGGCGGGCCCG
rfam:Thermosphaera aggregans DSM 11486, complete genome.